UGAGUGGCGAACGGGUGAGUAACACGUGGGUAACCUGCCCAGAAGUAGGGGAUAACACCUGGAAACAGAUGCUAAUACCGUAUAACAGAGAAAACCGCAUGGUUUUCUUUUAAAAGAUGGCUCUGCUAUCACUUCUGGAUGGACCCGCGGCGUAUUAGCUAGUUGGUGAGGUAAAGGCUCACCAAGGCAGUGAUACGUAGCCGACCUGAGAGGGUAAUCGGCCACAUUGGGACUGAGACACGGCCCAGACUCCUACGGGAGGCAGCAGUAGGGAAUCUUCCACAAUGGACGCAAGUCUGAUGGAGCAACGCCGCGUGAGUGAAGAAGGGUUUCGGCUCGUAAAGCUCUGUUGUUAAAGAAGAACGUGGGUAAGAGUAACUGUUUACCCAGUGACGGUAUUUAACCAGAAAGCCACGGCUAACUACGUGCCAGCAGCCGCGGUAAUACGUAGGUGGCAAGCGUUAUCCGGAUUUAUUGGGCGUAAAGCGAGCGCAGGCGG
rnacentral:rRNA from 1 species